GUGCUCCCCCGCCAAUUCCUUUAAGUUUCGGCCUUGCGACUAUACUUCCCAGGUAGCACACUCUUCGGCUUCCCUUCAGCACUAAUAUCUCUCGAAGAGAUACUAAUGUUUAGUGUGCAGUGUUUACUGCUAGGACUACACGGGUAUCUGAUCCGUUUUGCGCCCCUAGCCUUCAUCCCUUACUGUCAGAACUGUCCUCGUAAGAUGCCUUCGCUAUUGUUAGUCUGUUCAAGAUUAACAUAUUUAACCACUACUUUGAACAUACUUCUUACGCCUUCCAGUCUCUAGUUUAACAGUAUUUUUUGCUCGCUCCAUACUUGAGAUAUAGAAUUUCACAAGAAACUUAUUAAACAAGCUACGGAUGUUUUAGACCUAAUAAAGAUGGCUGCGACUUGGACCGCUAGUAUUACCGCGGCGGCUGGCACUAGUCUUACCCAGUCCUUAUUCGUAAAACUUUUUACAUUUUACAAAAGCUUUUCAUUUGAAAAGCACUCUGGCUCGCUUUGUCACGCUUUCGCGCAUUGCAAAAGAUUCUUAACUGCUGCACCCCGUAAGGCUGGGAAUAGUGUCUCAGAUUCCCUCUCAGGGCCUCUCCGCUAAGAGCCCUUACAGAUCUUCGGCUUGGUGGGCAUUUACCCCGCCAACAACCUAAUCUGCCGCAGCCCCAUCCUUAAGCUCGAGUUUGAGAGAUAAAUCUUUCCAGGGUAAAUCUCCUAUCAAGUGUUAGCCUCAGUUUCCCGAGGGUAUCCUUGACUUAAGGGCAGGUUAGCUACGUGUUACUGAGCAGU
rnacentral:rRNA from 1 species